UAAACCAAAUCACACGGCGUCUUCACCGGCGAUUAGAUAUGGAGCUCUCGUCCCGGGUUCAGGUUGUUCUUUCUCUCGAUCUACUCCCAUCCUAGAACGUCCAGAAAUCCUAGCGUCGUCCAGCGGGUGCGGCGGUUGGCCAGCGCGCUGCGCGGUGCCGUCGUCCUCGAUCUCGCCCUCCUCCCUCUCCUCCGGGCCCGCCGAUGCGGGCCGCGUCUCCGUGUCCUGCCCGCUCGCCGCCGCAUGCCCCGUCGGCUGCCCGACACCCGCGCGACCCCGCCCGCUCGCCCGGCCGCUCGGUCCUACUGCCCGCUGUCAGAGCCCGUCGCUGUCGCCCGCUGCCGAAGACCCCGGCCUACGGCCGCCGCCCCUCGUCUGCUGCGGGAUACUCGCGAGCGCGUCGCCCGCUCGCCUCGUCCACUGUGUCACAGGGUGACAUCCCUCGGCAGCGCCCCGCCCCCCGUGCUGCCCACCGCGAACCCCGGCCAGUGCGCCCUCCCUUGGCGGUGCCUACGUUUGGGUAAAGUCGAGCCAGCGGGCGUCGCCUGGCUCCCCUCCCCCGGGCGGCCAUGGAGGAGCCAUGCACUGCUAAUAUGUCGGAUGAUGAAGACGAUGGGUGAUCGUGAUGGUGACACCCAGAGCUAGAAGGCCACGAGGAGUUCAAUAUGAGAUGUUAGUAUUCACAUAUGCUCUACAUAAUUCUGCAAUUGUAUGUGUAUGAGUACUAAUCAAACCAAAAACUACCAAUAUUUAUUUUAGUUGUGAAGCAACAAUGGUAUGAAGAAUAUCUGCUAUUGCCGGCGUGUUGUCUUUGUAGCAGCUCAUUGAGAAGUUAGGCUCUAAUAAUGUGACUGAUAAGCCAGUUGCACUUAAAAUGAUGAGAGAUGUAUGUGAAUCUGUUCUUUAAUCCUCCGAAAGGAAGCAAAGCUAGCACAUAGUGGUGGUGAUAUCUUGACGAGUUACAGAGCGGCCUUGUGGAGGCAGCUUGGGAAGGUUAACAAGGGAUUGCAUUGGAAUUAUUUCUGAUUAAGUAUUAGCUCUGGAUUACCACUGUUGUUGUUGUUAGUCCAGCUGUACUGGUGCUAUAACUACACUAUCUGGGUUGGCACUUCAGUUGAAUUCUGGAUUUAUUCUUUUGGUCUGGUUCUCUCCUUAUGAUUGUCUUCUACUGUAUGACUUGGCAUAUCAUACUUCAAAAUAUGUUGGGCCUAUUUUUUUGCAAUACUCGCUGAGGAACAUGUGCAGGUGUGGGACUUGAUAAAGCUUGGAGAUUAUCUUAGUGCAAGGGAUGAUGUCGGUCCCUCUAGGAUAGGGAUUGCUGGUGAAUCACUCGGAGGUAUUAUAGAUCAUGAUUGCAUCAUGAUACUGAAUUAAUACAUAGACUUCACUUUUAGAAAACUUGUCCUUUUUAUUUGGAGCUGAAUACAGGAAUGCAUGCAUUGUUUGCUGAUUUUUGUGGAUACACGGUACAGUGUUGUUGUUCCAAUAAUUGGUGUUCAGGUACACACAACAGUAAUUUUAUCAAUACGGGUGCAUAUAGUUUUGUGAUUUGUCCCAUGUAAGUAAAGCAAUGCUCUUUGUGGUGGCUACAGGGAUUUCAAUGGGCAAUAGAUAAUGACAUGUGGCAAGCUAGAGUUGAUAGCAUUAAGCCUUUAUUUGAAUGUUAGAUGCCAUGCAUCCUCUAAGAUUGGGCACACACCAUUGAAAAAUAUAGAUCACAGCUGAUAUAUAUUGUAUCAGUUCAGAACAUUUACAUGUAAGUAUCUAUGUCAUUUUGUCUUUCCUGUAGAAGCAAGAAUUGAUUCAGGGAAGAGUGAAAUAGAUGCAGAGGUUGUGAAAAGGUUUGGGACAAAAUAGCACCUGCUAUGGCUUCACACUUUGAUGCUCCCUACUCAGUUCCUCCGAUUGAACCACGUCCACUCCUCCUAAAUGGUGCUGACGACCCUCGUUGCCCAGUCCUUGGUCUACAAGAACCUGCCUCAAAAGCUGCUGAGGCUUAUGCAGAAGCUGGUUCUGCGGAUAAGUUCAAGGAUCCAAAGAACUAGCUCGACUGGGCACUAGAUCACAGAUAAUUUAGACUUGGCACUUAAAUAGGAUGGCUAAAUUACACUUGAGUUUCAUUUGACGGAUAUUUUCUAUGAGAAUUAUGAAUUUUAUGAAUCUACAUAUUAUACGUAUGGUUUUGAAUAUUGUAAUUGAAUGCCUGUAUUUUUUUAGGUUGCAAUAGGCUAUUGCCACAACCCACUUUUGGUUGCCACAUGUUAGCACCAUGAAGAUUUAAAUUGUCACAAUAGUUUCUCGCUACAAACAUUUCAUCCGUUGUGAUACCUAUUUAUCACCGCCAAAACUAGUAUGUUGCAAUUUCCUAUUACGACGACUAGAAUAUUUGUUUCCAUAACUUAAUGCCACGAGUGUAGCAGUUCGUGGCAAAAUGCCUAAUGCCACGAAAAUAAGGAUUGUUGCCAUAGUUUAUUGCCCCAAUUUAAUAUUUCCACGGAACAAUA